rnacentral:rRNA from 1 species
GACGAACGCUGGCGGCGUGCUUAACACAUGCAAGUCGAACGGAGUUUAAAUCAGUAGUUUACUACAGAUUUAAACUUAGUGGCGGACGGGUGAGUAACACGUGGGCAACCUGCCCUAAAGAGGGGGAUAACACCGAGAAAUCGGUGCUAAUACCGCAUAAAAUUAGAGCUUCGCAUGGAGCUUUAAUCAAAGGAGUAAUCCGCUUUAGGAUGGGCCCGCGUCUGAUUAGCUAGUUGGUGAGGUAGAGGCUCACCAAGGCGACGAUCAGUAGCCGAUCUGAGAGGAUGACCGGCCACACUGGAACUGAGACACGGUCCAGACUCCUACGGGAGGCAGCAGUGGGGAAUAUUGCACAAUGGGGGAACCCUGAUGCAGCAACGCCGCGUGGAGGAAGAAGGUUUUCGGAUUGUAAACUCCUGUCUUUUGGGACGAUAAUGACGGUACCAAAAGAGGAAGCCACGGCUAACUACGUG